UAUAGUGACGCUGGGAGACGGGUCGCUCCGUUCAGCGUGCCGUGGGUGCUUCUGUGACGACAGGGUUUGGUGAGCCUCGGCGGCAGUUUAAUCCCUGGUGGUGGUUCACGGAUCCCCUUUUUCGUUGGUGUGUUGUCACAGGUGUGAUUAUUUGGACCCCCUUUUUCUUCUUUUUGGUUAUUUUUGUUUGCCUGCCGCCAUGGUAAGCCAGCCUGCUCCCUUUAUUGUUUAAGUUAAGUACUCCUGAUUCUUUAUUUUAAACUGGUGGCUUGCUUCUUAUCUUUAAUAAUCUAAUUAAAUAAAGAAAUUGUUAUAUUUUUGGAAACACGUCUCAGCCCAAGUGAUUACGAACCUGUGUGCCUUCAGUGU